rnacentral:rRNA from 1 species
GCCAGACUCCUACGGGAGGCAGCAGUGGGGGAUAUUGCACAAUGGGGGGAACCCUGAUGCAGCGACGCCGCGUGGGUGAAGGAGUGCUUCGGCAUGUAAAGCCCUAUCGGCAGGGAAGAGCAGAAGACGGUACCUCUUGAAUAAGCCACGGCUAACUACGUGCCAGCAGCCGCGGUAAUACGUAGGUGGCAAGCGUUGUCCGGAUUUACUGGGUGUAAAGGGCGUGUAGCCGGGCUGACAAGUCAGAUGUGAAAUUCCGGGGCUCAACCCCGGACCUGCAUUUGAAACUGUUGGUCUUGAGUAUCGGAGAGGCAGGCGGAAUUCCUAGUGUAGCGGUGAAAUGCGUAGAUAUUAGGAGGAACACCAGUGGCGAAGGCGGCCUGCUGGACGACAACUGACGGUGAGGCGCGAAAGCGUGGGGAGCAAACAGGAUUAGAUACCCGCGUAA